rnacentral:lncRNA from 1 species
AGUACUGAACAAAUAGAACAACUUUUCAUGAAAAUAGACUAUGAAGCAGUGGGCAGAAUUCAUUGGGUAAGUUGGGUUGUUUUUGGAAUCAAACUUGCAAUGAGGAAACUGUAUAAAAUGUUUGGUUCAACAGAUUGAGCCUCUGGAGUACCCUGUGCCCCUCAGUACCUUUGCCAACUUGAAGCUGAACCAAGAGGACAUGCGUGUUCACCGUUUCCGAGUUCUCGUGAGAUCAAGUUAUACUUGGCAUAGUUAAACUAGAAAUUUCAGUAUCUGAGGCAAGUCCCUAGAAGGCUUUCGUAAAACCAGGGAAUGAAGAACACAUCCACUGCCUUAGCCAAAAGCAAAAGUGAAACACUGUGAGCAAGAAAUCCUGUGAACAAGCGAAACCAUAUGAUAAUCAGGUCAUUGACAAAGCAAGUGUUUAGAACAGUGACGGCCAGAGUCAUUUCUCUGCAAAUAUUAUUAUCAGCAUCAUUAUUAAUGUUGCCCAGUUUGGGUUGGAUGAUAAUGAGGGGCUGACACAUCUGCUUUUAAAAUUCUCUGCCAUCGUAUGUCAGUAUCCUUCUGUUGUGUGAGGAUGAGUUAAGUUCUAAAAUGACGAGUUGAGCAGCAUUCACCUCUCAUCAGACCUUGAGCCAGCUCCCCAACCAAAUCAAAUACAUGGGUCUUCACUGUCAUCUGAUUUGAAAAGGGACAGUCAGGAUUUCCAGGAUGGCUUCUGCACAUAUCUGCAGUUAGCAUAUUCAGAGCAAGCUGAUGCUUUGGCUCGACAGAAAGAGGUUUCCUUCCAGCUGCCUGCUGUGCUGCAGGGACUGUCGUACGGGGGACCCGUGCUGCGCAUUCUCUCUGUGCCUGAUGACACCUUAAUCAUGAUCAGAGAAGAUGGAGCCAUUUAUUUCUGGUCCCUGCAGCUGAAGUUGAAAAGAAGAAAGCGAGUUUUUGACAAGCCCAUCAUUCGGAAGCGCCGGUGGGUGACGGAUGCCACCAGCAUGCCACAGUACAACAAACUGAUCCUAGGAACUGGAAACCGCGAAAUCCAGCUGUAUGAGUUCUCUAACUUGGAGCCUUACUGUCAGAUUGGUGGCCUGGAAGCUGUCCCUCUGAAACUGGACUACUGGUACGAGGAUCCUGACAAGUGCCUGAUUCUCUAUGGUGAUGACCAGGGAUGUGUGAACAUUCUGUUUUUGGCUUCUGUCGGUGAACUAUUAAGGGGACGUCACACCCCAGGUCCCUCUCAUGGGGGAGGUCACACUCCAGAUCCCUUUCAGAGGAAGUCACAUACCACACCUCCCAUCCUCAGGGAAGAAGUCACUCCAGGUCAAGUGUGCUGUUACUCUUGGUGGCUGAGGGUCCCCAGGAGGCAGCCGUCUCAGUCCUAUCACAGUGACACUCUGGAGCCAGAAGCAUGGAGAACUUGGAAGAAGCUGCCCAAAGUUGAGAACAUGCCAAACAUUAGCAUUAAUAAUGCUGUGAAUUCUCCAAAUGUGAAUUACAUCCGCUGGAAAGUGCACGGAGACUGGGUUACUCAGCUGAACUACUACGAUUCUAUCAACGCCGUUAUCUCAAGCUCCAAUCAUGAGCCCACUGCUCUAGUCAUAGGAAUCUUACAGCAGCCCUGUCCACCUCUGAUUCGCAGCCUUCAAACCACAUUGUCUUUCAAGGAAAGCUUCCUUGGUAAAUUUCUGAUUCACUGACAUUGAAAUCACUGAAGUGUUGGAAAGAGAUGUGCUCUGGGUAAGAAGUCGCUUGGGAAUUUUCAUUAGACUUUCUUGGAACUAAGAAGUGGUCGUUUUCUAGAACCGUGAUGGAUAUGAAUCUUAAGAAACUGAAAGCCAGCCUCCAGAAGCAGCUCAAAACUCAGUGUUUGUUAUGACAGAACAAAAAUCAGCGAGCCCAGAAGAAGGAUCUCCAGGCUCUAGCCCUGGCUCUGCUGCUCAUAGAGCUGUGACCUCAGGCCUCAGCCCCCUCUCCAGUUCAGUGAGGAAGUUGGACAUGAGCCCAAAGUCACAGAUCUUCCUUUUGCUCUAAGCCCCUGUCCCUCCCUUCCUUCACCUCACAUCAUGGGAAGCAGAGGCCGCUACAGCUCUGAACCCCUGUUAGUGUGUCUAGAAACCUAGAUAGCUCAACUAUAGAAUUCCUCCACCCCGGCCCCUCGCAACAUCGUUGAAGUUUCUGUUUCUCUCCGGAAGGAGAAUGGGGAGGAGCCCUUAGAGCAGAACUCCUGGAAAGACUUGCCCUUUCUUACGCCUGUCCUCCAAGUUGGUCUAAGACCCACUCCAACCCAGCUGUGUCCCUCCACGCCAUUAAAGUCACUCUUGUAAGGGCCACCAGUGCCCCUCCUGCUGCUGAAAUCAGUGACCGGUCCUCGUCCCACUUGCCCUCUCAACACGAGCCGCAGGUCCCUUGGCUUCCUCCCUGCAGUCCUCUCACUUGGCGUGAGGACUCCACCUCUCAUGGUUUCCCGUCCUUCCUGCCUGUAGCCCCUUCUCGUUCUCCCUUACUGGUCGUCUGCAUCGCCAUGACUCGUGUCUAUGACGCAGUGACGGAGCCCCCAGCAUUCAGUCUUUGGUCCUCUUCUCUUCCACAUCUGCACCCCCGCGAUGAGCGCUCCGCUACCACUGCUGUCAAUUCCCAAAAGUACAUCUCUGGCCCAGCCCCCUCCCUGAACUUCUCUCUGGUAUUUCCAGCUGCCUUGGAUCUAUCUCCCAAGGGCACCUCCACUUGGGUAGCUCAUGAGCAUCGAAAUUAAACCCAAACCUGAAUCCAGAUCUUCUUCCUCCCACCGUCUUCCCCAUCUCAUUUGGCUCGAAGUCCAUUCUUCCAGUUGCUCUGGCCAAAGUCUGAUGGUCACCCUUGACUCCUCUCUCACAACCCAUCUAACUUGCUGGCCCUACCUUCAUAACACACCCAGACUCUGGCUGCUGCUCCCCAGCCCCACUGCUACCCUCUAGUGAGAAUCACCACCCUCUCUUCCCUGGGUUCCUGAAACAGCCUCGCUCCUCUCCCUGCCUCCAUCCUGCCCUGUCGUCUCUUCUCCAUGAAGCAGCCAGAGAUACCCUGUAAAACGAGAAGUCAGACCUGUCCAAAUCCUCCAGUGGGCCCCCAUCUCAGUAAAAGUCGGAGUCCUUGGGGGACCUGUGUGUCACCCCAACCCUUGCGUCUCUGGCUUGGUCUCCUCCUUCCCUCCUUCCCUCACUCAGUCACACUGGCUCCUUCAGUAUAUUUAGAAUGUUUUCACUGCUUCUUCCUUGUGCCUGGAAAGUUCUCCCUAAAAAUGUCUGCAUUGCUCACUCCCUCAGCCUCUUGAAGUCUUUGCUCAAAUGUCACUUCUCAGUGAGGCCUCCUUGUCUGCUCUGUUCUAUAUGGCAACAGCCCAGCUCCUGGCUCUGGCAUUCCCUAUCCUUCCUACAUUGAUCUGCCCUUAUUUUGUUUUGUUUUGUUUUGUUUUGUUUGAUUAGGGGCACACCUGCAGC